AAUUGCAGUUUUUAAUUUUAUUUAUUUCAUGAAUUAUAAAUGGUGGAAUUAUGAUUUAAUUUGUAGGGCUAUUUAUUAGUCGAAGAAAUGUUUAUGCAUUUUUACCCUUGACCCCCAAACAAUAUUUCUUGGAUCCGCCACUGACCUCAAAAAUAAAGAAAUAGAAUAAUUACCCACUUAAUGAUGCUAUUUAUUUUAUAGGUGCUAAGAUAUUGUCAGGUUCACACUGAAUCUUGAAGCACAACCUCAACUUUGUUGAAGAACGCAUAUAUAAGGCAAAAAGAGUAAAUUCUUUGGGGAGACAUGCCCUCACUCUUAGCACAAACAAUUUCCUAAGGAUGCUAAACGGGUUGAUUUGGACAGGAUUAUCAACUUUAAUAAGGUUUAAUCUACCUUUAGGUCGAUAAAAAAGAAUGGAAAACUAACCAAAACACCUCUCAAAGGUUUCAUUUUAAUCAUAAGGACAAAACAAUUCAAUAAUACCCAAAAUGGGCCUGUAAAAGAAGACAAGGGAAAGAGUAUUUUAAGAGAAAAAGCAUUUCAGGGAUAUCACAUGCAAAAGUUGGGCACCAGGAGACAAACCAUGCAGCAAAUUCACAUGCAAAAGGAGACAAGCAAGUUCACAUGCAUCAGGCCACGUUUCAGAAACAGUGCUGACAAUUUCAGCAACAGUAGAAGCAUAAUGACAAAUGACAAGUACCAAAGAAGUGUCCACACCAUUUAUUUAUAAUUUUAAUAUCAUUGUAUCAUGAUUCAGUCUAUAUAAGUGAAGUUUCAUUCAUUGUAAAGACACACCUCCACCACUCAACAUCUGAACACCCUACUCUCACACCAUCUUCAUACUCUCAAGCAUUCAUAGCCUUCAUAGCAUCCUUGUAAACACUUCCUUGUAAUCACUUUCUUGUAAACAACUAUCUCUGUAAACAUUCCAUAUAUCAAUAAAAGUUCAAGUGUACAUAUUCAAGCAAUCUCCA
rnacentral:lncRNA from 1 species